rnacentral:rRNA from 2 species
GAUGAACGCCGGCGGUGUGCCUAAUACAUGCAAGUCGAGCGCACUGGCCCAACUGAUAUGACGUGCUUGCACUGAAUUGACGUUGGAUUCCCAGUGAGCGGCGGACGGGUGAGUAACACGUGGGCAACCUGCCCUGAAGCGGGGGAUAACAUCUGGAAACAGGUGCUAAUACCGCAUAACAACGAAAACCACAUGGUUUUCGUUUCAAAGAUGGUUUCGGCUAUCACUUCAGGAUGGGCCCGCGGUGCAUUAGCUAGUUGGUAAGGUAACGGCUUACCAAGGCGAUGAUGCAUAGCCGAGUUGAGAGACUGAUCGGCCAUAUGGAAGAGACACGGUCCAUACUCCUACGGGAGGCAGCAGUAGAUCUUUCAAUGGGCGCAAGCCUGAUGGAGCAACACCGCGUGAGUGAAGAAGGGUUUC